AACCUCAACGAUCUCUUGAUCAACCAAAAGGGAGGUGUGGCCAAGGAAGGGGUUGGGUACGUGCCCGACUCCAAGAACAAGAAGAAGAAUGACAAGACCAAACGACCUUCUCCCCUCAUGCAAAGCUUUGUGAGGGAGGGAGAGAGUGCCCCCGAGGAGAAGAAGAAGAAUAAUGUCAAGAAGGGCAAUGUCACCCCUCCCAACAAAGCCGGCGAUUUUAAUCCUUCUUAUGUGUUAUGCCGUGCUAGUGAUGGGCAUGUUUAUGCCAAAUUUGUUGAUUUUCUUCAUGAGUGCAUUGAAUGGUCUAUUUGGGUUCCUAAGACCCUUGUUACUAACAUCAAAGGACCCAUUACAAAAUGGGUACCUAAAACCAAGCAUUGA
rnacentral:rRNA from 1 species